rnacentral:lncRNA from 1 species
GCAAUGGCUGAAAAUGGAGAUGAAGAGUUUCACUCUCAGAGGAGGAUUUUGUUCUUCAAUUGUGGAGUGAUCUCUAUCACCAGUGACUAAAGAUGUUGGAGCACAGAGAGCCAUACCCCAAAAUAUGAUGCUUCGGCAUGCUGACUGCUUUGAAAAUUGAAAGGCCUCAGAAAUAAUCCUCAGUGCCAGGGUCUCCCUCUGACCUCCCCCUACCUCCCUUUCUCUCUGAUCCUGUCUCUCCCAAAGCACAGAAUGAAGCUGUUCUCUGAAUUCCCUUAUCUACCUAGAAACUGGACCCCCAAAGAGGAACACAAUUUGCCUUUGAUCCCUUCCCUGAAAUUUCAUUAACCAGAGAAAAUUAAAACUUCUAUCACAAAGGAAGAGACUGAACAUUAAACACCAUAGCUACAGCCCAGACAAACUUCUUCCCAAACCAUUGUUUGUUCUCCUGCCUGUUAAAUUGCCAGAGAAUCAUUCACAAGAUAAAGUCUGCCUUCUGGGUCCAUUCAUUCCCCACUAAAAAUCUUUUACUCCUACACCCUCAUGUCUCCUUCCUCCAUGAAGAAGGGUCUAUAAACCUCUAGGCCUCAUUGGGUUAUUGGGUAAUCAUUCUCAUGCAGUUCCCCUGUGCUCUGCAUGUUAAAUAAAUUUGUAUGCCUUUUUCUCCUA